CAAUAUUUAUUGGGCAAUGUUCGACCUCCGAAGCGUGUCAGGACCGGAAGGUAGCAGCACUAAGGUCGCUUGGGCAUGUGCCCUUUAUUUAGCAAUUAACAA
rnacentral:SRP_RNA from 1 species